GAUAGUUUGAUCCUGGCUCAGGAUGAACGCUAGCGGUAUGCUUAACACAUGCAAGUCGAACGAAAAAAUUUGAGAUGAUUAAAGAAAUUUAAAAAAAUCUAUUUUUUAGUGGCGAACGGGUGAGUAAUGCGUGAGAAUUUGCCUUUAGGAGGAGGAUAACUAUUAGAAACAAUAGCUAAUACUCCGUAAAGUCUUAUUAUUUAAGAUGAAAGAAGAAAUUCGCCUAAAGAGAAGCUCACGUCUGAUUAGCUAGUUGGUAGGGUAAAGGCCUACCAAGGCGACGAUCAGUAGCUGGUUUGAGAGGAUGAUCAGCCACAUUGGAACUGAGAUACGGUCCAAACUCCUACGGGAGGCAGCAGUGGGGAAUUUUCUGCAAUGGGCGAAAGCCUGACAGAGCAAUACCGCGUGAGGGAACGAAGGCUUUCGAGUUGUAAACCUCUUUUUUCAAGGAUGAAGAUCUGACAGUACUUGAAGAAUAAGCAUCGGCUAACUCUGUGCCAGCAGCCGCGGUAAUACAGGGGAUGCAAGUGUUAUCCGGAAUUAUUGGGCGUAAAGCGUCUGUAGGUUGAUUUAUAAGUCUUUUGUUAAAUAUUUAAGCUUAACUUAAAAAAUGCAAAGGAAACUAUUUAUCUAGAGUUUGGUAGAGGUAAAGGGAAUUUCCAGUGAAAUGGUGAAAUAUUUAGAUAUUGGAAAGAACACCAAGGGCGAAGGCAUUUUACUGGGCCAUAACUGACACUGAGAGACGAAAGCUAGGGGAGCAAACGGGAUUAGAUACCCCGGUAGUCCUAGCCGUAAACGAUGGAUACUUGAUGUUAUAAUUUUUAAAUUAUAGUAUCGAAGCUAACGCGUUAAGUAUCCCGCCUGGGAAGUAUGCUCGCAAGAGUGAAACUCAAAGGAAUUGACGGGGGCCCGCACAAGCGGUGGAGCAUGUGGUUUAAUUCGAUGCAACACGAAGAACCUUACCAGGGCUUGACAUGAAGAGAAGUUGUUUGAAAAAAUAAUAUGCUAAGGCCUCUUACACAGGUGGUGCAUGGCUGUUGUCAGCUCGUGUCGUGAGAUGUUGGGUUAAGUCCCGCAACGAGCGCAACCCUUAUCUUUAGUUAAUAUUCUAAAGAGACUGCCAAUUAUAAAUUGGAGGAAGGUGAGGACGACGUCAAGUCAUCAUGCCCCUUAUGCCCUGGGCUACACACGUGCUACAAUGGAUAUGACAAAAAGUUGCAAAUUUGUAAAAAUAAGCCAAUCUAUAAACAUAUUCUUAGUUCAGAUUGUAGGCUGCAACUCGCCUGCAUGAAGGUGGAAUCGCUAGUAAUCGCAAGUCAGCUAUAUUGCGGUGAAUCCGUUAUCGGGCCUUGUACACACCGCCCGUCACACCAUGGGAGCUAGCUCUACCCCAAGAUCUUGUUUUAAAGAAAAAACAGUUUAAAGGUAGGGUUGGUGACUGGGGUGAAGUCGUAACAAGGUAGCCGUAG
rnacentral:rRNA from 1 species